GAAAUACGUACCUCUGCACACUUUUUUGCAGCGCCACAAGUAUGUACAUAUUGCUACAGUUUUGAAACACAAACGUCCACUGGGGUCGCUAAAGAGAAGGACUGCAUGUGACAUUGCAAUCGACAGUAAGAGCAGAGGUUCCAGUCAUAUCAAAGAGGAAGAAGAGUAAAGUUUUUUUUUUUUUAGCCUAUCAAGGAACAGGAGAUUUGAAGAUCAUCUGUAAUCUCACUAUCUUUCUGCCUCUUGCAGUAAAACGCAGACAGGUGUUAAAAAAUAAAUGACUGAGAGAGUCAUCUGAUCAGCCUAUACCAGAGAAAAAUACGGAGGAGGAAUUACACCGUGAUCUUGAGGAAAUAAUGGCUGAUUUGGAGGAGAUGCACCUCCGAACAUGUUUAGGGGCGAGAUAUUUGCAUACCCUCUGUUUCUGAAGAAGGAACUGGCCACAAAAACAAACUGCAAGUUCUUCUGCACUGACAUCAUGUGUCAAUAUUGGUCCUAUCUGCAAGAGGUGGCUCAAGCAUUCCCAGAAAUGGAAAACUUGACUCAGAUGAAGCCAUUUCUCUCAGUUAUGAAUGCAAAGGGGCACGCUACAAAUUGUGAGACUAUCCAAAAGACAAAAGGAAGUCAAAGAGGACAUUGAGGCUAUAAAGAAGUGCACGCAAAGGUCUGAUGAGGAACUGCAACAGUGGGUCAUUGAUGUGACACAGUGGGCAGUUGACACACCAGAUGACCUCAGAACAGAUGAUCCAGUGGCGUUGCAACAUCUGAUUGAAGGCCUAUUCUUGGGCAUCCAGCAGAAAAAGAGGAAUCUAUAUCGAGUAACCGACCGUAACAAACAGCGACACAAGAUCCGAAGAUGGAUUAGAGAGGAUAAGAAAAAGCUGUUUAAUGCCAUAUCCCAAUACAAUGAUCUUCCAACCACCACAGAAUCUGUAGAUUCAGUUGAAGACCUUCUGGCAACAGAAAGCCCUAUCUGGCCUUGGGAUUCUGAACCUGACACUUCCUUAGGCAUGAAGAAGAAGGUUUUUGACAAGGUGAUGUAGCUGGAGAGACUGAUUGAGGAAGAGGCUAUAAUUUUAGAGGAAAUGAAACAACAUUGGACUCAUCUUACAAGAACCUGCAGGGCCUUGAAGGACCAGGCUAAUGUACUAUCAGAUGACCUGGCCACACAGAACCUGGAGUUCGGGGUUAGAGGUUAUUUCCUGUAUAGAAGAAAGGAAGCUGACAGUAUGUGUGCACAUGUAAUCCAUCUGUUGUUAGCACUAGAAGCAAUGUCUUUUCACUCUGUCAUGUAAGAUGAUGUUGAAAGCCACAGUAAACAGCAAGAAAUCGCUCACUACGACUUGUCGUCAUUUUGCAUCAGAGUUAGCUGGCUGUAUAGCUACAGUUGCUACACUGCAGUGAGGACAGCACACAGAUGAUAAUUCAUACAAACUGCCAUAUUGAUGUUUUGGUUAAUUGCUUUUUUAUUGUAUAUCCCAAUUUGAUUUUUAGACUACCCUUCAGGACUGUCUGGUCAAGCUUACCAUGGCCUGCACAGUGCUGUCCUCCAAAAAUGUGAGGAGCUCAAAACAGACCUGGUACCUGUGAAAGAAACCUACUCCCAAAUAGUGGUAAAUGGGAAUGGUGGAACUGUUGUUGAAGAAGAUGAAGACCCAUAUGAGCAUGUCUCCACAGAUGCCUCUACAGAUGAUGAAUUAUAGAUUCUCUCUUCUCCACUGCACAAACUGGUCUCCUGACUCUGAGUAGCUCAAGUUAGCUCUCCCCAUUGUAAAUAAUAAAA
ensembl:lncRNA